CUAGCUACAGGCUAACACAUGCAAGUCGAGGGGCAGCAUUAUCGAAGCUUGCUUGAUAGAUGGCGACCGGCGCACGGGUGAGUAACGCGUAUCCAACCUUCCCCUUAGUAGGGCAUAGCCCGUAGAAAUGCGGAUUAAUACCCUAUGUUGUAUUAUGAGGACAUCUGAAUAAUACCAAAGGUUCACCGCUAAGGGAUGGGGAUGCGUCUGAUUAGGUUGUUGGCGGGGUAACGGCCCACCAAGCCAUCGAUCAGUAGGGGUUCUGAGAGGAAGGUCCCCCACAUUGGAACUGAGACACGGUCCAAACUCCUACGGGGAGGCAGCAGUGAGGAAUAUUGGUCAAUGGGCGAGAGCCUGAACCAGCCAAGUAAGCGUGCAGGAUGACGGCCCUAUGGGUUGUAAACUGCUUUUAUACAGGGAUAAAGUCGGGGACGUGUCCCCGUUUGUAGGUACUGUAUGAAUAAGGACCGGCUAAUUCCGUGCCAGCCGCCGC
rnacentral:rRNA from 1 species